CACGUAGGGGGCGAGCGUUGUCCGGAAUCAUUGGGCGUAAAGAGCUCGUAGGCGGCUCAGUAAGUCGGGUGUGAAACCCCCAGGCUCAACCUGGGGACGCCACCCGAUACUGCUGUGGCUAGAGUCCAGUAGGGGAGUGUGGAAUUCCCGGUGUAGCGGUGAAAUGCGCAGAUAUCGGGAGGAACACCAACGGCGAAGGCAGCACUCUGGGCUGGAACUGACGCUGAGGAGCGAAAGCGUGGGUAGCAAACAGG
rnacentral:rRNA from 1 species